rnacentral:rRNA from 1 species
UACAGAGGGGCAAGCGUUGUUCGGAAUUACUGGGCGUAAAGGGCGCGUAGGCGGCCAUCUAAGUCGAACGUGAAAUCCCCGGGCUCAACCCGGGAACUGCGUCCGAUACUGGUUGGCUUGAAUCCGGGAGAGGGAUGCGGAAUUCCAGGUGUAGCGGUGAAAUGCGUAGAUAUCUGGAGGAACACCGGUGGCGAAGGCGGCAUCCUGGACCGGCAUUGACGCUGAGGCGCGAAAGCCAGGGGAGCAAACGGGG